rnacentral:rRNA from 1 species
UGAGUACGAGACGCUAAGGCGUCGAAGUAGUGUAUGUCAUACUUCCAAGAAAAGCUUGCACUGUCAUUCAUAAAAAAUGCCUGUACCAUAACCGACACAGGUGGGUAGGUAGAGUAUACUAAGGGGCGCGAGAUAACUCUCUCUAAGGAACUCGGCAAAAUAACUCCGUAACUUCGGGAGAAGGAGUGCCUUAUUUAUAUAAGGUUGCAAUAACAAGAUCCAAGCAACUGUUUACCAAAAACACAGGUCUCCGCUAAGUCGUAAGACGAUGUAUGGGGGCUGACGCCUGCCCAGUGCCAGAAGGUUAAAGAAGUUGGUUAGCAAUAGCGAAGCUGAUAACUGAAGCCCUGGUGAACGGCGGCCGUAACUAUAACGGUCCUAAGGUAGCGAAAUUCCUUGUCGGGUAAGUUCCGACCCGCACGAAAGGCGUAAUGAUUUGGAUACUGUCUCGGAGAGGGACUCGGUGAAAUAGACUUGUCUGUGAAGAUGCGGACUACCUGCACCUGGACAGAAAGACCCUAUGAAGCUUUACUGUAACUUGAAAUUGAAAUUGGACUUUAUUCGCGCAGUAUAGGUGGGAGGCGUUGAAAAUAAUCUUGCGGGACUAUUGGAGCCAUCAGUGAGAUACCACUCUUAUAAUGUUAGAUUUCUAACUUUGAAUCAUUAUCUGGUCAAAGAACAGUUUCAGGCGGGCAGUUUGACUGGGGCGGUCGCCUCCCAAACGGUAACGGAGGCGUACAAAGGUUUCCUCUGAACGGGUAGAAAUCGUAUCUAGAGUAUAAAGGCAAAAGGAAGCUUGACUGUGAGACCUACAAGUCGAGCAGGGACGAAAGUCGGUCUUAGUGAUCUGACGGUACUGAGUGGAAAGGCCGUCACUCAACGGAUAAAAGUUACUCUAGGAUAACAGGCUGAUCUCCCCCAAGAGUUCACAUCGACGGGGAGGUUUGGCACCUUGAUGUCGGCUCAUCGCAUCCUGGGGCGGUAGUACGUCCCAAGGGUUGGGCUGUUCGCCCAUGAAAGCGGUACGCGAGCUGGGUUCAGAGCGUCGUGAGACAGUUCGGUCCAUAUCCGGUGUAGGCGUUAGAAUAUUGAGAGGAGCCUUCUUUAGUACGAGAGGACCGAGAAGGACAUACCUCUGGUGUACCAGUUAUCGUGCCAACGGUAAACGCUGGGUAGCUAUGUAUGGAGUGGAUAACCGCUGAAAGCAUCUAAGUGGGAAGCCCACCUCAAGAUGAGUAUUCUCAU